CAUCGGUCAACGUGACUUCUAUUCAACAUCUAUGGUCGCAAUCCCAAGGUUCAUUGCGAUCCCAAGGUCCACUGCGGUUUUCCACGCGAUGCAGAACCUUUAGACACUGG